GUUUGAAUGAUGACUUGGAUUGUCGGAUACCCCUUCACCCCCUUCAUGGGUGAGACAUAACAGUCUGACAAAC
rnacentral:snoRNA from 1 species